CGCCCGUCGCUCCUACCGAUUGGGUGUGCUGGUGAAGCGUUCGGAUUGGCGUUAGUGGGCGGUUUUCCGCCUCCUCUCACUGAGAAGUUCGUUAAACCCUCCCACCUAGAGGAAGGAGAAGUCGUAACAAGGUUUCC
rnacentral:rRNA from 1 species